rnacentral:rRNA from 1 species
GAUGAACGCUGGCGGCGUGCCUAAUACAUGCAAGUCGAGCGAACGGACGAGAAGCUUGCUUCUCUGAUGUUAGCGGCGGACGGGUGAGUAACACGUGGAUAACCUACCUAUAAGACUGGGAUAACUUCGGGAAACCGGAGCUAAUACCGGAUAAUAUUUUGAACCGCAUGGUUCAAAAGUGAAAGACGGUCUUGCUGUCACUUAUAGAUGGAUCCGCGCUGCAUUAGCUAGUUGGUAAGGUAACGGCUUACCAAGGCAACGAUGCAUAGCCGACCUGAGAGGGUGAACGGGCACACUGGAACUGAGACACGGUCCAGACUCCUACGGGAGGCAGCAGUAGGGAAUCUUCCGCAAAGGGCGAAAGCCUGACGGAGCAACGCCGCGUGAGUGAUGAAGGUCUUCGGAUCGUAAAACUCUGUUAUUAGGGAAGAACAUAUGUGUAAGUAACUGUGCACAUCUUGACGGUACCUAAUCAGAAAGCCACGGCUAACUACGUG